AGAGUUUGAUUCUGGCUCAGGAUGAACGCUAGCUACAGGCUUAACACAUGCAAGUCGAGGGGUAGCAGGGUAGCAAUACCGCUGACGACCGGCGCACGGGUGAGUAACACGUAUCCAACCUCCCCAUAACUCAGGGAUAGCCUUUCGAAAGAAAGAUUAAUACCUGAUAGUACUUUUUCAAGGCAUCUUGAGAAAGUUAAAGAUUUAUUGGUUAUGGAUGGGGAUGCGUUCCAUUAGAUAGUUGGUGAGGUAACGGCUCACCAAGUCUUCGAUGGAUAGGGGUUCUGAGAGGAAGGUCCCCCACAUUGGUACUGAGACACGGACCAAACUCCUACGGGAGGCAGCAGUGAGGAAUAUUGGUCAAUGGGCGAGAGCCUGAACCAGCCAAGUAGCGUGAAGGAAUGAAGGUCCUAUGGAUUGUAAACUUCUUUUAUAGUAGAAUAAAGUGAUCCACGUGUGGAUUUUUGUAUGUAUACUAUGAAUAAGGAUCGGCUAACUCCGUGCCAGCCGCCGC
rnacentral:rRNA from 1 species